AAUCAACGCUGGCGGCGUGCCUAACACAUGCAAGUCGAACGCGAAAGUCCCGCAAGGGAUAAGUAGAGUGGCAAACGGGUGAGUAACGCGUGGGCGACCUACCUUCGAGUGGGGGAUAACAUUCCGAAAGGAGUGCUAAUACCGCAUGACAUCCCGUGUUUGGAUACACGGAGAUCAAAGCCGGGGAUCGUAAGACCUGGCGCUUGAAGAGGGGCCUGCGUCCGAUUAGCAGUUGGCGAGGUAAUGGCUCACCAAGGCUCCGAUCGGUAUCCGGCCUGAGAGGGCGGACGGACACACUGGAACUGAGACACGGUCCAGACUCCUACGGGAGGCAGCAGUGGGGAAUUGUUCGCAAUGGGCGAAAGCCUGACGACGCAACGCCGCGUGGAGAUGAAGACC
rnacentral:rRNA from 1 species